AAACCUCCAACGCUUAUCAGGGUGAAGAUGUCACAUGUGAUGCCCCAGCGGCCCUGCUACUUACGGCGAAUUUGUGAAUUUCAGAUGCUUUUCACGGAUCGAUUUUCGUGAACAACGCAGAUGAGCCAGCACACACACGACGUGGGAAAAUGAACAGAUACGUCACGGAAAUGUUGAAAGACAUCAAAUGAGGCAUACGCCUCACCCAUGCAACUCCGUCAUCUGCUCCACGGCAGUGCAAGCCUUUACAGCUGUGUCUUUGAAUGUAAAAAUUGUGAAUGGUAUUAAUAAAUAAAGGGAAGUAGACAGUA